GACAUCGCAAGAGGAGCGAAGAGACUUAGACUUGUCAAGGCACUGAGUCAAAAUGUUAAUGUCCCUUUUCUCCUUCAACACUGCCACAAGGUCGUCGCUAUAUGAUAUCAGCUUAUCAACAUCGAUCUUUCCAGAGGAAUCCCCCAUUUCCCAAUCCGCUAGCAACUCAAUGUCGUCUGAUAUGAUUCUCUAGGGUUCUAAGGGUUUUAUAUCACAUCAAAACAAAUAGGAAAUUAAUCACGAAGAGCUAGAAAUAGUUUGUAAGUGAAUGCCGAAACUGAAUAGAGAAAAUGAUAAGCGUUGCUUUUAGGGCUCCGAUCCGAAGAGCAUGCCAGAGAAUUUUCGCGAGCAGGAAAAUGAAAAUAAAAUGAAAAUGAAAAUGAAAAUGAAAAUG
rnacentral:misc_RNA from 1 species